UGGUAUAUGCUUGUCUCUAAGGCUAAGCCAUGCACGUGCCAGUAUAUGAAUGUAUACACCAAAAACUGCGAAUGGCUCCGUAAAACAGCAAUAAUUUCUUGGGGGAUAAAUACUACUCGGAUAUCCGUAGUAAUUCUAGAGCUAAUACGUGCCAUAAAGCGGGACUUCGGUCACGUGGUACUUAUUUAGAUACAAGCCAACUAACCUUGGUGAUUCAUAAUAAUUUUUCUGAUCGCACUCUGUGCGACACCCCCAUUAAAUUUCUGCCCUAUCAACUACUGAUGGUAAGGUAUUGGCUUACCAUGGUUUUGACGGGUAACGGACCGUGGGUGCGGGUCUCCGGAGAGGGAGCCUGAGAAACGGCUACCACAUCCAAGGAAGGCAGCAGGCGCGCAAAUUACCUAUUCCGGAUUCCGGGAGGUAGUGACAAGAAAUAUCAAUGCCGAGCCCUAUGGGCUUGGCAAUUGGAAUGAGAACAAGUUAAAUGGCUUAUCGAGGAGCCAGUAGAGGGCA
rnacentral:rRNA from 1 species